rnacentral:tRNA from 1 species
GCCGGCGUGGCUCAAUUGGCAGAGCAAUCGCCUUGUAAGCGAUAGGUUAGGGGUUCGAGUCCCCUCGCCGGCU